rnacentral:rRNA from 1 species
AGAGUUUGAUCCUGGCUCAGAGCGAACGCUGGCGGCAGGCUUAACACAUGCAAGUCGAGCGGGCGUAGCAAUACGUCAGCGGCAGACGGGUGAGUAACGCGUGGGAACAUACCUUUUGGUUCGGAACAACACAGGGAAACUUGUGCUAAUACCGGAUAAGCCCUUACGGGGAAAGAUUUAUCGCCGAAAGAUUGGCCCGCGUCUGAUUAGCUAGUUGGUGAGGUAAUGGCUCACCAAGGCGACGAUCAGUAGCUGGUCUGAGAGGAUGAUCAGCCACAUUGGGACUGAGACACGGCCCAAACUCCUACGGGAGGCAGCAGUGGGGAAUAUUGGACAAUGGGCGCAAGCCUGAUCCAGCCAUGCCGCGUGAGUGAUGAAGGCCCUAGGGUUGUAAAGCUCUUUUGUGCGGGAAGAUAAUGACGGUACCGCAAGAAUAAGCCCCGGCUAACUUCGUGCCAGCAGCCGCGGUAAUACGAAGGGGGCUAGCGUUGCUCGGAAUCACUGGGCGUAAAGGGUGCGUAGGCGGGUCUUUAAGUCAGGGGUGAAAUCCUGGAGCUCAACUCCAGAACUGCCUUUGAUACUGGCGAUCUUGAGUCCGGGAGAGGUGAGUGGAACUGCGAGUGUAGAGGUGAAAUUCGUAGAUAUUCGCAAGAACACCAGUGGCGAAGGCGGCUCACUGGCCCGAUACUGACGCUGAGGCACGAAAGCGUGGGGAGCAAACAGGAUUAGAUACCCUGGUAGUCCACGCCGUAAACG